ACGAAUCGUUCACUCACGAGCCAACACUAGUCGUGAGCUUCUGAAACACUUCCGGGUCUGAUUCCCCCCCCCCCACACACACACACUCGUCGCGGGGAGCGGAAAAAACAAGCAGAGCUAACUAUAAGCUGCAAUUAUGGUCUGACUUAUUAUAAAAGCGAGCAUCUACGCGGUCAGGAAGAUCCGGGCGGCCAUUGCUAAGAGAGAGCAACUGGAAGAGCCCAUUGUGACGCCAUGUAGUGCUAUCGCUGAAAAGAGAGCGGCACAAGCCCUGAGAGAGCCACCAGAAGCCGUAAUGACUUCAAAUCACAUCAGCGGGGAAGUGGUCUCCGGGAUGCCUUUGACUGUGCAGAAAUAUGGCUCUUGAUGUUAAAACACGAAUCACACAGGUCAUUCAUAAAUAGCCUAAACAGAAUCAGUUGCCUUUUGCAUCAUAGCAACCGAAGCAAACAGCAUUGUAAUGCUAAUAUGUCUUAAAUAUUGUUAAUUGAAUAUUCAGUAAUGACCACAGUGUGCUCUUGUUACCCUGCUGUAAAAUGUUGAUAAUGUCUGUUGCAACGUGUGAAGACUCAACUCACAAACCUCUCCAAGGAGGCUGAGCAGGUCUGAUGUGUUUUGCAAUGAUAAUAUCAAUAAACACCUGAAACUCUU